ensembl:lncRNA
CCAUAGACCCAAUAGGAUGCCCCCAAACCCCACAUAUCACCCCAUAGAUGCAAUAGGAUGUCCCCAGACCCCAUAGAAUGUCCCCAGACCCCACGUAUCUCCCCAUAGACCCCAUAGGAUGUCCCCAAGUCCCCAUAGAUCACCCCCAUAGACCCCAUAGGAUGUCCCUGAGACCCCAUAUGGUGCUGCUGAGACCCCAUAGAACCCCAUAGAGGUGACAGUGGGACCCCAUGGAGUGCCACCAACCCCACAGAGGUGACAAUGGGACCCCAUAUUGGUGACAACGUGACCCCAUAGAGUGCCACCAACCCCACAGAGGUGACAAUGGGACCCCAUGGAGUGCCACCAACCCCACAGAGGUGACAAUGGGACCCCAUUGAGUGCCACCAACCCCAUAUUGGUGACAAUGGGACCCCAUGGAGUGCCACCAACCCCAUAGAGGUGACAAUGGGACCCCAUAGAGUGCCACCAACCCCAUAGAGGUGACAAUGGGACCCCAUUGGUGACAGUGGGACCCCAUAUUGGUGACAAUGGGACCCCAUAG